UCCAUUCUCUCCCAGAGUUUGUCCGUCUCGUUCUGAAGUCUACCUUUCCACUUUUCAUUUCAAAAUCAAUGCUUAUGUCUUCAUCCACUCCUCCAGAGCAUCGUCAGCUGAAAGGGUAUUGUUUUAGAAAUGUUUUGCUUACUUUCUCUCUUCUCAACCCUUUUGCUUCUGAAGUCUCCCUGUGAUGGGAUCGACACAUUCAUUUUUUUGUAUCCGUACUUUGGAGGUUCAUACAGGCCCUGCGUUGCGGUGACCUCAGGAUGUGUGGCGCUGUGGAAUAUGGGGGGGGUCAGUGUCGAGAAGGAGAUGUGGGGAAAUGACGGACAGCUGAGAGCAGCAUCUCCCAUGACCCUCCUCUCCUCUCUGCAUCCCUAAACUCUCCGUCGUUGAUUCAGCUCCCAGGAAACAGACAGACACUCCGCCUGCCGCAGCCACACCUGCCAGAUCACCCUCACACCGGACUCUGAAGCUAUCCCACCUCUUCAGACCAUACUGUAGGACUUCACACCAAAAAUGCUUUGCUAAAGCUGGUAAAAUGGAACCAAAUCAACUGUUGAAUGGAUUUGGUCCCCUUCAACCAGCUGUAGCUGUGCAUUGAUCACUCCGGAUCACUGAAGAGUGGGACAAAGAACGGCUGACGGACACACCAAGACUCCAUCUCUCACUGACCUGAGAACAGGGCUCACCAGAGGGAAUCUGGCAGAGACACUGUGUCAGGAAUGGACACACUGAUCCAGGAGCAGAAAAGCCCCAACUGAACCUUCAGACCACAACUGGGUAGGCUGCAAGUAGGAAUGAAUCUUUUGUACACCAGAAGGGAUAUCGAUUUUUUUGCAAUAAAAAUAAGUCCAGGUAAUUACUUAUUUAGUGAGUCAGCGUUUUUGUCAUAACUAUGUAUUGUAAUGUUUUACAGUCGAUAUUGUUGCUAUCCUUUGUAACGGACUGUACUGGAAGGGAAAGGAGAAGGGGGAUGUGGGGUUGGUAAAUAAGUGAAGCAACGCUUGUCUCUCUCUCUCUUUGACUCUUAAUGCAGACGUCUGAUCAAUAAAAACCCAUCCUGAAGU